rnacentral:rRNA from 1 species
GACGAACGCUGGCGGCGUGCUUAACACAUGCAAGUCGAACGGAAAGGCCCUGCUUUUGUGGGGUGCUCGAGUGGCGAACGGGUGAGUAACACGUGAGUAACCUGCCCUUGACUUUGGGAUAACUUCAGGAAACUGGGGCUAAUACCGGAUAGGAGCUCCUGCUGCAUGGUGGGGGUUGGAAAGUUUCGGCGGUUGGGGAUGGACUCGCGGCUUAUCAGCUUGUUGGUGGGGUAGUGGCUUACCAAGGCUUUGACGGGUAGCCGGCCUGAGAGGGUGACCGGCCACAUUGGGACUGAGGUACGGCCCAGACGCCUACGGGAGGCAGCAGUGGGGAAUAUUGCACAAUGGGCGGAAGCCUGAUGCAGCAACGCCGCGUGCGGGAUGACGGCCUGCGGGUUGUAAACCGCUUUCGCCUGUGACGAAGCGUGAGUGACGGUAAUGGGUAAAGAAGCACCGGCUAACUACGUG